AGCAGCCGCGGUAAUUCCAGCUCCAAUAGCGUAUAUUAAAGUUGCUGCAGUUAAAAAGCUCGUAGUUGAAUUUCGGGACCAUCAUGUCGGUCGUGCCUCGGUACGUACUGGCAUUGUUGGUUUCUACCUUCUGACGAACCAUGAUGUCAUUUAUUUGGUGUCGUGGGAAAUCAGGACUGUUACUUUGAAAAAUUAGAGUGUUUAAAGCAGGCUCACGCUUGAAUACAUUAGCAUGGAAUAAUGAAAUAGGACGUUUGAUUCUAUUUUGUUGGUUUCUAGGAUCGACGUAAUGAUUAAUAGGGAUAGUUGGGGGCAUUAGUAUUCAAUUGUCAGAGGUGAAAUUCUUGGAUUUAUUGAAGACUAACUACUGCGAAAGCAUUUGCCAAGGAUGUUUUCACUAAUCAAGAACGAAAGUUAGGGGAUCGAAGACGAUCAGAUACCGUCGUAGUCUUAACCAUAAACUAUGCCGACUAGGGAUCGGAUGAUGUUAAUUUUUAAUGACUCAUUCGGCG
rnacentral:rRNA from 1 species